AGAGUUUGAUCCUGGCUCAGGAUGAACGCUAGCGGCAGGCUUAACACAUGCAAGUCGAGGGGUAACAGGGAUUGCUUGCAAUCCGCUGACGACCGGCGCACGGGUGCGUAACGCGUAUGCAACCUACCUUCUACAGGGGGAUAGUCAAUAGAGAUGUUGAAUAAUACCCCAUACGAUCAUUAAUCUGCAUGGAUUGAUGAAGAAAGUUCCGGCGGUAGAAGAUGGGCAUGCGUCCUAUUAGUUAGUUGGUAAGGUAACGGCUUACCAAGACAUCGAUAGGUAGGGGUCCUGAGAGGGAGAUCCCCCACACUGGUACUGAGACACGGACCAGACUCCUACGGGAGGCAGCAGUGAGGAAUAUUGGACAAUGGAGGCAACUCUGAUCCAGCCAUGCCGCGUGCAGGAAGACUGCCCUAUGGGUUGUAAACUGCUUUUAUACAGGAAGAAUAGUACCUACGUGUAGGUAUUUGACGGUACUGUACGAAUAAGGAUCGGCUAACUCCGUGCCAGCAGCCGCGGUAAU
rnacentral:rRNA from 1 species